GGUGGAUUCAAAAGUCCUAGAUCUUUGAGAUAAUUUAUAUUUAUAACUGAUUAGUUUACUAUUUUGAUCAUUCAUAAUUCAACAAUCAAUCUCUCUUCUUUUUCUUUAAAGCUCACCUGAGCAAGCAUUUAAAUACAGUUUAAAACUUAAUUCCUCAUGGGAUUGAUCCGUACUCGUCAGACGUGCUACAUUGCACACCGUG
rnacentral:lncRNA from 1 species